GCAAGUCGCACGGGACUAUUUGAGUAGCAAUACAAGAAUAGUUUAGUGGCGCACGGGUGAGUAACACGUGAAUUACAUGCCCUGCAGAGGGGGAUAGCCCAGGGAAACUUGGAUUAAUACCCCAUGGUAUCGCAAGAUUAAAGGUGGCCGCAAGGCUGUCGCUGCAGGAUUGGUUCGCGCCCUAUCAGCUUGUUGGUGAGGUAACGGCUCACCAAGGCUACGACGGGUACCUGGUCUGAGAGGACGAUCAGGCACACUGGAACUGAGACACGGUCCAGACACCUACGGGUGGCAGCAGUCGAGAAUAAUUCACAAUGGGGGCAACCCUGAUGGUGCAACGCCGCGUGGAGGAUGAAGGUCUUCGGAUUGUAAACUCCUGUCAUCCGGGAGUAAGACCUGGCGAUGAAUAGUCGACAGGGUUGAUAGUACCGGAAGAGGAAGGGACGGCUAACUUCGUGCCAGCAGCCGCGGUAAUACGAAGGUCCCGAGCGUUGUUCGGAAUCACUGGGCGUAAAGGGAGCGUAGGCGGCGUGGUAAGUCAGAUGUGAAAUCCCGGGGCUCAACCCCGGAACUGCAUCCGAUACUGCCGUGCUAGAGGAUUGGAGAGGUAGCUGGAAUUCACGGUGUAGCAGUGAAAUGCGUAGAUAUCGUGAGGAACACUCGUGGCGAAAGCGAGCUACUGGACAACUCCUGACGCUGAGGCUCGAAGGCCAGGGUAGCGAAAGGGAUUAGAUACCCCUGUAGUCCUGGCAGUAAACGGUGCACGCUUGGUGUGAGGGGAAUCGACCCCCCUUGUGCCGGAGCUAACGCGUUAAGCGUGCCGCCUGGGAAGUACGGUCGCAAGACUAAAACUCAAAGAAAUUGACGGGGACCCGCACAAGCGGUGGAGUAUGUGGCUUAAUUCGAUGCAACGCGAAGAACCUUACCAAGGCUUGACAUGCAUCUCUAAGCGCGUGGAAGCGCGUGACCC
rnacentral:rRNA from 1 species